rnacentral:rRNA from 1 species
AACGAACGCUGGCGGCAGGCCUAACACAUGCAAGUCGAGCGAAGCCUUCGGGCUUAGCGGCGGACGGGUGAGUAACGCGUGGGAACGUGCCCUUUGGUACGGAAUAGCCCCGGGAAACUGGGAGUAAUACCGUAUGUGCCCUUCGGGGGAAAGAUUUAUCGCCAAAGGAUCGGCCCGCGUUGGAUUAGGUAGUUGGUGGGGUAAUGGCCUACCAAGCCGACGAUCCAUAGCUGGUUUGAGAGGAUGAUCAGCCACACUGGGACUGAGACACGGCCCAGACUCCUACAGGAGGCAGCAGUGGGGAAUCUUAGACAAUGGGGGAAACCCUGAUCUAGCCAUGCCGCGUGAUCGAUGAAGGCCUUAGGGUUGUAAAGAUCUUUCAGUGGGGAAGAUAAUGACUGUACCCACAGAAGAAGCCCCGGCUAACUCCGUGCCAGCCGCCGCGGUAAGAC